AUGCUAAAAAUCUUAGCGAAACGUCGGGAAAAAGCUAAAUAAAGUAUUUUUAUUUACACAACGGUUAGAUCAGAAAAGCCUAACAAAUAUAACAAUUUCAACCAAACUAAACUGAUCGGAAAAACACCACAAAGAAUGUAGUUCAACAAUUGUUGCUAGACUUUGUUAAUCUAUUUGGUAGUAUAUUCGGAGAUCAUUUAAUAAGCUUCAGUAUUCAUAAUAAGCUUUAGUGCUUUAGAUAUCGCCCUUGAUUCGUUUUCGGCCUAUAAAUUUGAAAACAUUAUGCAGCACUUGAAAAAAGUUAUAAAAAGUCCCACUAAUAUUUUACAACAAUUGUUUUUAAGAAUUAAAGAACGAAAACAUUUACAUGAAGUAAAAAAUUAAAAAUCGGGUCAUUUAUAAUUAGUUCAAAAAAAAGAAAAAGACACAAAGUUACAGAAUCACUUGUGGAAUCUGGAGAAGAAUUAGUUACUGGGCAUAAUUUUAAUUAAUUCUGGAAUUACUUUGAUGAACCUCUUGAAUCUUUUUCUGGACUUUUUGAUUGCAAGUAGACUAAAUAAUGAAAAAAUAAGAAUUUCGAAAAGUUUAAUUGAGUACAAAUAUUUUUGUAUACCUGUUGACAAUAACUAUCUUAACUAUAACUAUCCCGAUUUUACAUCACCUCUUUCACGAGUUUACAAACUAGUUGUAUUAUAUAAACCAGUUAGUUUAAUAAACAAAUUGCAUCGUAUACUACUAAAUAUUAUAUUUUAUCUUUUCAAUGCCUCUCAUACAUGGGAUUAUUUUUUUAAGAAAAUGGACCACAUGGACACGGAGAACUUAUUUGAGGAAUCUCCUCCGGCCACAUCUACACCGAAGGGAGGAAUAAAAAACAAUUUUCUAUCAACUGAUUUCAACUCACAAUUAUUAAAUUCGCAGCCAAGCCAAUGUAAAUAUUGGACAUGUUGGAGCUCAUAUUUCAAAAGCAAUGUAGCUUGCAAUCACGAUUAGACAGGCUGGAAGAAAACAUGGAGAUGACCUUCAUACAUUGAUGCAGUUUUCGAUGUCGAGGAAAAGCUUCAAGACCAAAUCGACGAGGACGCAGUUACUUCUUACUUGUUUUUGCUGAAAGGAACUAGCGUGGAUAUUGAUGCUGUCGUGGUGCGAAUAUUCAGCGGCGGGUGCUGCAGUUUUUUAACUAAAUCGGAGAUGCGGUAAAAAGGCCUUUUCUAAAUUUAAGAUUGCCGACACGGCGCUUUUUGAUAUUUUUAAACUACAUGGACGCAUCGAUUCCGAAAAAUAAAUCAGGAGGAGCGUUGAAUUAAGUCACAAUAAUGAAAAAAUAAUUAAU